UAUAUACAUAUAUAUUUUAGUUUAAAACAUAUCAAGAAUGGAUACAGUGAUAUGACUAUUAUAUAUAGGAGUCCAAUUUUCUCAAUUUGUCCAUUGGUGGCGAACCAAAACACAUCCCGAAAGAAAAUCAGGAAAGCUCGAAAAAACUCGCAGCCAUCGUUAAGAAGAGAGAGCGUACUUGGUGGGUUUCAUUUGUUUCUUCUUCGUGUGCUUCGUCUGUCUAUCGGUUCCAAUUUUCGGUCCUCCUUCAUAAGAUUGCAUCGGCCAAGAAAGUACGUUACAACAGUUCAAAUGCCUGCAGCAGCUUUAAAGGGAAAAUUUUGCUGAUUCCCUUGGCAAAAUACAAGAACUGAAAAAUGUGAAGGGCACUAUACUACACAGGCGUUGACUUGUCGCUACUCUCUAGCCUUGUUGGUCCAACACGAGGUCGUUAUAGAAAACCGUUCAAUUCCAAUGGUCAAAGUUCAGAGAUACGCUACCCGAUUGCGACUUCU